CAUUGCUUUGCCAAUUUUAAGAUACCUAAUCUGUUAAAUUAUAAAACAAAAACUGUUCAAAAGCAAAUCCUAAUUAUAUUAUUGAGUUUUCUCUGUGUUUGGGAGAACAAAAAUGUUCUGAUUUCAUUCUUUCACUGUCAACAAACUGGGCCAUCAAGUCAUUUGCAGCUAAUACUGAUAUAAUUCAAUCAAAAACAUCAACGAAAUAUUGAGGUUAAUUCAAAGGAGAAAAAGACGAAAUUCUAUGGCAAAGCGCCACUCAAAAAUUUUUUUUACCAUUGCUGCCUUAUGUAUGAACAGAAAUUUUCUUAAGGCCGAAAAUUCAAAAGAGAAAGCUCAGAAUUGCCUGAAAGGUACUUCUAGUAUUUGAGUUCAAUGAAAACAGCCCACUUUGAACUUGACGGCUUGAAAAUUAUUUCCUCCCAUAUUGAGUGAACCGAAUUUAAAGACGCAAAGCGAAGCUUCAAGCUAAUUUCACAGGUCAUGUGAUCAGCCUCGAAAAAAAAACAGUUCGGCGAACUUCCAAAAGACGUUUCACUAUUCAAGACUCUUCGGGAUUUCUUCCAAGAACCAAUCUUCUUUCUUUCUCAUCAUAUUCCACACAAGGAAACAAUAUUCAAAAUACUUAAAGUUCAAGAAAUGGCUUCGAAAAGUGAAGAUAUUAAACAGGAACAUUCUAAGGCGGCAAAGAGAAACUCGGCGGGAACUUCUUACUCGGGUCACAGAAGGCCAAGUCUUCUUUCUACAAUGAAAAUUUACAAGGGAGCUGACAGCCAGAAGACCAGUCAAAAUAAAAGCGGUGACUCCAGUAAGUCAACAGCAAUUUCUGGCAUAAAGAUGGAAACUACAAAUGUUGAUGGAGACGCUCCAAUGAUGUUGCAAGCGACGUCUUCGUCCUCAGAAAAUGCCAGAAAAAGGUCCAAUUCAUUUUCAAGGGAGCCUAAAGACUCGCUCCUGCAGCCACUGAUUAGUAGUCCGGUGAAAAGCAGCCUGAAAUGUCCUGUUGUUGAUCCAAAAAACAAAUCUGGGCCCAGAAGGAAUAGUUUUUGCGUUUCAAUGGAAGUCAAGCAAAAGCAUUCGUCACUCAAAACCUUGGGACUAUUUAAGUGAAUGAAACAUGAAAAUGAACAUUAUUGUAUUUUCUAUCAUAUUU